ensembl:lncRNA
UGGUGGGGCUGGUACUGGUGUUGGUCCUGGUGGGGCUGGUACUGGCUUUGGACCUGGUGGAGGGACCAGAUCACAAGGAUAUGAUGCUGACGCAAAAGCCCGUAAAUAUGGCAUGUUGAGCGGCGCCCUGGGAGUACCUGGUGGUGCUGGUACUGGUAUCGGCCCUGGUGGAGCUGGCACUGGAUUUGGACCAGGGGGAGGAGUUCGGCCUGGUGGUGCUGGCACAGGUUUUGGACCUGGUGGUGCUGGCACAGGUUUUGGACCUGGUGGAGCUGGCACCGGUUUUGGACCUGGUGGAGCUGGCACCGGUUUUGGACCUGGUGGAGCUGCUAUCGGUUUUGGACCUGGUGGAGCCGGUACUGGUUUUGGACCUGGUGGAGCCAGUACCGGUUUUGGACCUGGUGGAGCCGGUACCGGUUUCGGGCCUGGUGGAGCUGGUACUGGCUUUGGACCUGGUGGAGCUGGUACUGGCUUUGGACCUGGUGGGACUGGUACUGGCUUUGGACCUGGUGGAGGAGUUGGUGCUGGUGGUGCCGGUUAUGGGCCUGGAGGUUAUGCUGGAGCCAAAACGCGUAAAUAUGGACUGCCAGGUGGAGCUGGGGGUGCUCUGGGUACAGGAUCUGUUGGGCUUGGAGUUGGAGGAGGUAUCCCAGGGCGAAGUGUUGGGAUAACAACAGGUGGAGGGGCUGGACUGGGGACUGCUGGAGUGCCUGGUUCUGGUGGAGUGGGUACUGGUGGAUUUGGACCUGGUGGUACUGGAGGAUUUGGCCCUGGUGGAUUUGGCCCUGGUGGAGUUGGUCCUGGUGGAUUUGGCCCUGGUGGAUUUGGCCCUGGUGGGGUUGGUCCUGGUGGACUUGGCCCUGGUGGACUUGGCCCUGGUGGAGGUGUGGGGACAGGAUUUGGACCAGCUGGAUUUGGGCCAGGAUAUGGGACUGGACAGAAGCCAUACAAAUAUACUCCACAUGCGGGGGGUGGUGGAGUCCUAGGAGAAGGAACAGGACGGACUGGCCAGCCUGGUGGCACUGUGCCUAGUGGGGGGAGAGGCAUUGCAGGAGCUACUAAUGCAAAUGGGACAGGAGUGUCAGGGAAUGGCACCAGACCAAUCAGUGGAGUAGCAACUACAGUAAUAGGUGAAUCGCAGGAUGGACUUGGAGCAACAGGGGUCACAACUUCCCCAACAUCAGAAGGGCGUGCGGGUACGAGAGGAAGAGAUGGAAAAGACAGUGACGGAGGUGUGACUGGAGGACCUGUAGGAGGCGAGAAAGAUGGUCUAAUUGCAACAGGAAUUCCGAUACUCGCUGCAAAACCAGACCUCAAUGGGACAUCACUACCAGGGGCUACCGGUGCAACGGCUGUUCAAGGUGGAAUUGUGCAAUCAGGUUCAAGUAAUGAUACAACUAGUGUACUACCUGGAGCUAAGCCCAUUAAACCUCCAGGGAUUCCCAGAGGAGACACUCCAGGUGAAGGAGAUGGUGAAGGUGGACCUGAUGGAGAGAGAGAAUCUGCCCGUGGUCUAGGAGUGACACCUAAACCGGGUCCUGGGGAUGUAGCAGGAGGUCCUGGGGGUGUAGGAGGAGGUCCUGGGGGUGUAGGAGGGGGUCCUGGGGGUGUAGGAGGAGGUCCUGGGGGUGUAGGAGGGGGUCCUGGGGGUGUAGGUCCUGGUGGAGCAAGUGUCAUCAAACCUGGAAAAAGUUAUUACGGUGCUGGUGGUAUUGGGGUAUUGCCAGGUGGAGGCAAACGUUAUCUAACUGGAGCAGGACAAGCAGUUGGUAAACCAGGGAAAGUUUAUGGAAAUAUUGGUCCUGGUGGGUAUGGUACUGGUCCAGGUUAUGGAAGUGUCGGU